rnacentral:lncRNA from 1 species
GGUGGCGGGGGCCCCGCGCGCCCAGCACCGCCCGCAGCCGCGCCCGCCCCUGACGACGCUUCCCGGGAGCGGAAGCCCGCGGCUCCCUGCAACCCCGGGCGGUCCCACCCUCGCCAGAACCCAGCACCUUUCCCUUGUCUCCAGAAGGUGCCCACUUUUGGAAAUGUGUAAGUCCUGGAAUAUUAUGAGAUUAUGGCAUGAGGAGGAUCAUGGAGGCAGGGAAAUCUCUGAAAGACAAUGGGCUGCAGGAAAGUCCUUUUGAGGAAGGAACAUGUAAGUUUCGACCUGAAAGCUUAAGUGGUAGUUAAGUAGGAGACAGUGUGUCCAAUGGCUUCGUGGGAAAAGAACCUAUAAGAUGAGCCAGCCUGUGCAGCUCAAAUGGCCUAAAUAAAAAAUGACAAGAGACGAGGGCAAGCUGGAUCUCACAGACAAUGGGAAAUUGUUAUGACUUGUGUCUAGAUGUCCCCCUGAAAGCCUCAUAUAGUCAUAGAUGGGGCUUUUUCAGAGGUGGCCGGAUCUAGAGUGUGACACAAAUGGAUUCAUGGUGCAAUGCUAGGAUCAAGGGGACUAGGAUUAAGGGUAUGAGUGUUACAUGCCCUAAGUAGUCUGGAUGAGAUUUAAAGGAUAGAAAGAGCCAUGGUCAUACCCCUUGCUUGUUUUGCUGCCUCUGCCCACCACGAACUGUUUCUCCUCUGUGAUGCCACUCUGCCAUGCCACCCUUUAGAGCCAGCAAUUAUGGACUGAAACCUCUACAAACUGAGAGCUAAAUAAACGUUUCCUCCCUUAACUUGUGGGUGUUGGGUAUUUUGUCUCAGCAGCAAGCAAAGUAACUAAGACAGAAAUCUUUGAGGGAUUUUUCAAUCAGCAGAAGGGUCUGGUCCAACUUACAUUUAAAGUAUCACUCUGGCUCCUGAAGAGUGGAUUUGAAAUAGGAAGCUGUUUUAGAACCCCAGUCAAGACGGUGGCCUAGACUGAGCCUAAGGCAAUGGCAGUGGAGAGGGAUAAUUUUAAGUGGAUGAAUUUGAAAUGUGUGCCAGAUACUAUCCUAGACACUGUAGAACAGUUUCUGGUGUAAGCCUCAUACCCCAGUAAUGUGGGGUUUUUACAUAUUUUACAGAUGAAGCUGAGGCUGAGAGAGAUUCAGCAUUUAGGUCUUACUUCCCUUCAUUAAGCAGUGAUCUGUCAGAGAAACUGAUAUCCCUACAACCCACAGUAAGUGUCAGGGUGAUUUGCA